rnacentral:rRNA from 1 species
AUUGAACGCUGGCGGCAUGCCUUACACAUGCAAGUCGAACGGCAGCAUGAUCUAGCUUGCUAGAUUGAUGGCGAGUGGCGAACGGGUGAGUAAUACAUCUGAACGUGCCCUGUAGUGGGGGAUAACUAGUCGAAAGAUUAGCUAAUACCGCAUACGACCUGAGGGUGAAAGUGGGGGACCGCAAGGCCUCAUGCUAUAGGAGCGGCCGAUGUCUGAUUAGCUAGUUGGUGAGGUAAAGGCUCACCAAGGCGACGAUCAGUAGCUGGUCUGAGAGGACGAUCAGCCACACUGGGACUGAGACACGGCCCAGACUCCUACGGGAGGCAGCAGUGGGGAAUUUUGGACAAUGGGCGAAAGCCUGAUCCAGCAAUGCGGCGUGGGUGAAGAAGGCCUUCGGGUUGUAAAGCACUUUUGUCCGGAAAGAAAUGGCUCUGGUUAAUACCUGGGGUCGAUGACGGUACCGGAAGAAUAAGACCGGCUAACUACGUG